AUUUUUGAUCUAAUAAUUCGAAUAAUUUCUAAUUUAUAUAAUUUAUUUUUUAAAAUUAGUAUAUUAUAAAAGCCAAGAACAUUAAAUUUAAGUAUCAUGAGAAAUAUACUUAUCCUCCUUUUUAACUGGAUAUUGGUGAUAACGAUAUUAUUAGUUACGUCAAGUGAUGGAGCACGUAGAAGGACCGUUGAACAAGCAACCACUACAACAUUGGGAGCUAUUCAACCCAGAUUUGCAUUAAAAUAAUAAAUAAAUUACAUUUAUUCAAAUAUAAUAAAUCAUUUAAUCACUUUAAAAAUCUUAAUAUUGAUCAAUAUUAUAGUAUUUUAAUUCAAAAUUUAUGAUUUUUUUUGCAUUGUCAUAAACUAUAAACACAAUAAAUUAAAUUAUUAACCAA